rnacentral:rRNA from 1 species
UGGGGAAUCUUGCACAAUGGGGGCAACCCUGAUGCAGCGACGCCGCGUGAGCGAUGAAGCCCUUCGGGGCGUAAAGCUCUUUCGACCGGAACGAUAAUGACGGUACCGGGAGAAGAAGCUGCGGCUAACUACGUGCCAGCAGCCGCGGUAAUACGUAGGCAGCAAGCGCUGUUCGGAGUUACUGGGCGUAAAGAGUGCGUAGGCGGUUUUCUAAGUUCGGUGUGAAAUCUCCCGGCUUAGCUGGGAGGGUGCGCCGAAGACUGGGAAGCUGGAGUGUGGGAAAGGCAGGCGGAAUUCCUGGUGUAGCGGUGAAAUGCGUAGAUAUCAGGAGGAACACCGGCGGUGUAGACGGCUUGCUAGACCAUAACUGACGCUGAGGCACGAAAGCGUGGGUAGCAAACA